rnacentral:rRNA from 1 species
UACGUAGGGCGCAAGCGUUGUCCGGAAUUAUUGGGCGUAAAGAGCUCGUAGGCGGCUUGUCACGUCGAUUGUGAAAGCCCGAGGCUUAACCUCGGGUCUGCAGUCGAUACGGGCUAGCUAGAGUGUGGUAGGGGAGAUCGGAAUUCCUGGUGUAGCGGUGAAAUGCGCAGAUAUCGGGAGGAACACCAAUGGCGAAGGCAGCUCGCUGGGACGGUACUGACGCUGAGGCGCGAAAGCCAGGGGAGCAAAGCGGG